rnacentral:rRNA from 1 species
GGGCGGUUCCCCCCUUCGGGGGGACAGGGUGACAGGUGGUGCAUGGUUGUCGUCAGCUCGUGUCGUGAGAUGUUGGGUUAAGUCCCGCAACGAGCGCAACCCUCGACCUUAGUUGCCAGCAUUCAGUUGGGCACUCUAAGGUGACUGCCGGCUAAAAGUCGGAGGAAGGCGGGGAUGACGUCAAAUCAUCAUGCCCCUUAUGACCUGGGCUACACACGUGCUACAAUGGGCGGUACAAAGGGUCGCGAACCCGCGAGGGGGAGCCAAUCCCAAAAAGCCGCCCUCAGUUCGGAUUGCAGGCUGCAACUCGCCUGCAUGAAGCCGGAAUCGCUAGUAAUCGCGGAUCAGCAUGCCGCGGUGAAUACGUUCCCGGGCCUU